GGGACCGUAGCUCAAUGGAAGAGCGACUGGGUUGCAUCCAAAAGGUUGAGGGUUCAAAUCCUUCCGGUUCCACCA
rnacentral:tRNA from 1 species